rnacentral:misc_RNA from 1 species
GAUGAAGAACGCAGCGAAAUGCGAUAAGUAAUGUGAAUUGCAGAAUUCAGUGAAUCAUCGAAUCUUUGAACGCACAUUGCGCCCGCCAGUAUUCUGGCGGGCAUGCCUGUUCGAGCGUCAUUUCAACCAUCAAGCCCCCGGCUUGUGUUGGGGACCUGCGGCUGCCGCAGGCCCUGAAAAGCAGUGGCGGGCUCGCUGUCACACCGAGCGUAGUAGCAUACAUCUCGCUCUGGGCGUGCUGCGGGUUCCGGCCGUUAAACCACCUUCAUAACCCAAGGUUGACCUCGGAUCAGGUAGGAAGACCCGCUGAACUUAAGCAUAUCAGUAAGCGGAGGA